GCCUCCCGCGGCGGCUGGCGUCGGGAAAGUACAGUAAAAAGUCCAAGUGCAGCCGCCGGGCGCAGGAUGGGAUCCGGCUCCUCCAGCUACCGGCCCAAGGCCAUCUACCUGGACAUCGAUGGACGCAUUCAGAAGGUAAUCUUCAGCAAGUACUGCAACUCCAGCGACAUCAUGGACCUGUUCUGCAUCGCCACCGGCCUGCCUCGGAACACGACCAUCUCCCUGCUGACCACCGACGACGCCAUGGUCUCCAUUGACCCCACCAUGCCCGCGAAUUCAGAACGAAAUGAGCUCAUUCUCUAUAUAUCACUCUGUAACUUGUUGUUUUUACCUAGUAAGGAGUCAUGGGCAUCCCACCAGCACUCCCUACAAAGUGAGACCUGUAGCCAUCAAGCAACUCUCUGGUAAGGCCCUGCUGUCAUUUUUUAAAC
rnacentral:sRNA from 1 species